AGGGUCUGCUCCAGGUGGGAUGCCUGUUCUCAGGUCUGCAUCCCACUGUGGCCUCCCUGC
rnacentral:precursor_RNA from 1 species